rnacentral:rRNA from 1 species
AUGGGCGAGAGCCUGAUSSAGCCAUGCCGCGUGCAGGAUAGACUGCCCUAUGGGUGUGUAAACUGCUUUUAUACAGGAARAAACCUUGWYCAGCGUGUGAGAAGCUGACGUGUACUGUAAGAAUAAGGAUCGGCUAACUCCGUGCCAGCAGACCGCGGUAWUACGGAGGAUCCAAGCGUUAUCCGGAUAUCAUUGGGUUUAAAGGGUCCGUAGGUGGAUAAUUAAGUCARAGGUGAAAGUCUGCAGACUC